UACGAAGGGGACUAGCGUUGUUCGGAAUCACUGGGCGUAAAGCGCACGUAGGCGGAUAUGUCAGUCAGGGGUGAAAUCCCGGGGCUCAACCUCGGAACUGCCUUUGAUACAGCAUAUCUUGAGUCCGAUAGAGGUGGGUGGAAUUCCUAGUGUAGAGGUGAAAUUCGUAGAUAUUCGGAAGAACACCAGUGGCGAAGGCGGCUCACUGGCUCAUACUGGACGCUGAGGUGCGAAAGCGUGGGGAGCAAACAGG
rnacentral:rRNA from 1 species